rnacentral:rRNA from 1 species
AUUGAACGCUGGCGGCAGGCUUAACACAUGCAAGUCGGGCGGAGUGAUGGUGCUUGCACUAUCACUUAGCGGCGGACGGGUGAGUAAUGCUUAGGAAUCUGCCUAUUAGUGGGGGACAACAUCUCGAAAGGGAUGCUAAUACCGCAUACGUCCUACGGGAGAAAGCAGGGGAUCACUUGUGACCUUGCGCUAAUAGAUGAGCCUAAGUCGGAUUAGCUAGUUGGUGGGGUAAAGGCCUACCAAGGCGACGAUCUGUAGCGGGUCUGAGAGGAUGAUCCGCCACACUGGGACCGAGACACGGCCCAGACUCCUACGGGAGGCAGCAGUGGGGAAUAUUGGACAAUGGGGGGAACCCUGAUCCAGCCAUGCCGCGUGUGUGAAGAAGGCCUUAUGGUUGUAAAGCACUUUAAGCGAGGAGGAGGCUCUUUUGGUUAAUACCCAAGAUGAGUGGACGUUACUCGCAGAAUAAGCACCGGCUAACUCUGUGCCAGCCGCCGCGUAA